rnacentral:rRNA from 1 species
GUCCACGCCGUAAACUAUGAGAACUAGCCGUUGGGACCCUUGAGGUCUUAGUGGCGCAGCUAACGCGAUAAGUUCUCCGCCUGGGGAGUACGGCCGCAAGGUUAAAACUCAAAUGAAUUGACGGGGGCCCGCACAAGCGGUGGAGCAUGUUGUUUAAUUCGAUGCAACGCGAAGAACCUUACCACCCCUUGACAUCCUCAGAACUUGUCGGAGACGACUUGGUGCCUUCGGGAACUGAGUGACAGGUGCUGCAUGGCUGUCGU